rnacentral:rRNA from 1 species
AGUGAACGCUGGCGGUAGGCCUAACACAUGCAAGUCGAACGGCAGCACAGUAAGAGCUUGCUCUUACGGGUGGCGAAUGGCGGACGGGUGAGGAAUACAUCGGAAUCUACUUUUUCGUGGGGGAUAACGUAGGGAAACUUACGCUAAUACCGCAUACGACCUACGGGUGAAAGCAGGGGAUCUUCGGACCUUGCGCGAUUGAAUGAGCCGCUGUCGGAUUAGCUAGUUGGCGGGGUAAAGGCCCACCCAGGCGACGAUCCGUAGCUGGUCUGAGAGGAUGAUCAGCCACACUGGAACUGAGACACGGUCCAGACUCCUACGGGAGGCAGCAGUGGGGAAUAUUGGACAAUGGGCGCAAGCCUGAUCCAGCCAUACCGCGUGGGUGAAGAAGGCCUUCGGGUUGUAAAGCCCUUUUGUUGGGAAAGAAAAGCAGCAGGUUAAUACCCCGCUGUUCUGACGGUACCCAAAGAAUAAGCACCGGCUAACUUCGUG